CUUGCUGACACGCCCGGGCUGUGGGAAGCGCGGCUGCGGCCCGGAGAGUCUCCGCGCUCACCCUGCUGUGCCCGCCGCUUGGAGGCCUCGCUGUCCAGGCUUCCAGAAGGUUCAAGUUCCUGCAGGAGAUGAUGCUCCUCUGGGCCUUUCUCCUUGUCAUCUGGUUGCCUUAGGUCACCCUGGCUAAAGCUUGGACCUAUAAUCUAAAAUGCUACGAUUGUUGGACCAUCAACAAUUUUAAGUGUCCACAAAUUACGUUGUGUCCAACAGACCUCAGGCACUGUAUGACCAUCUGUGUUCGUUUGAACAGUCGGGAGCUACUUGUUUACAAGAACUGUACGAGCAACUGCACGUUUGUGUAUCCAAGCGAAGUGCCUGAUGAAGCCCCAAGAGUCUUAAGAACUAACAGCUUCUAUUUCGUCCGUUGUUGUGGUGCAAUGACUUGCAAUGAAGGAGGGCCCACUAAUAUGGAGAGGGAGAUCACACAGGACCAGACUAUUGAGGAUGAGUUAGAAGGAACUGUAUGCUUGGGGGAGUCAACACUUUCCCUGAGCAUUGCCUCCAUCCUGGUCAGCCAUACACUGACAUGAGAAGCCCUCUGGGAGGGUCUGAUCUCUUCCCUCAUUCCUCAGAGCAAGUUCACUCUCCUUUCCUCCCUUGUGAGCCAGGGAUACUGACCCACAGGGCCCCAGAUGGACCAGUUACCCUUUCCCAGCUUAUUUCAAGAGAGAAAUAAAGAACAUUAUUGCUUGG